CUGAGUCUGCAUGGCUGAAGCUGUAAUAGGAAGUUUCACAUCCGGGAAAUGUUUUAAGGGUUGGGCCUCUAGGCAGAUGGGGCAAGAAAGAGGUGUCCCGGGAGGUACUGCUGCGGGACACAUGGCACCCUGGUCCAUGGGGGAAUACCAGGAGUCAGUUUGUGGAGAACACAGGGGAUGAAUACAAGGUUGCAGUGAGUGGACGUGCUGGGCACAGCACCUCAGAAGAGCAAAGAUGGACUUGCUGGCUUCUCAUCAGCUCAGAAUGAGCCCCUUCUUUUUCUGGGAUCCACGUCAGUGUUGCUGUGAGGGACCAUCUCCCGCUUUGGUUGUCAAGAGGGAGCACCUCUGUUUAAGCCGGAGGUUGUAGGCAGUAGGUGCUAAUUAAGCAUUUGCUGUACUGAACUGGAAAGCCACAGUGAAGUCGUCUCCUUUCUCACAAUGAGCUAUGCCUUGUGCUUCUGAAGUUGCAUUGAAGAACCUGGGUGACUGGAUCUGUGAAUCAUGAGCCCGAGUUACCUCUGUUUCUUCGUGCAGAGAAGGAGGUUUUUGUUUUGUUUUGUUUUUUAAAUAGCUGUGUCUGCUGUUCUCACACCGGCUGCCUUCCUGGGAAGACAGCUCCAGUGUAUACCACAUCCCUUGCUGGAAAGGUCCUGGCAUUCUGUAACUGAAAUAGAUGGGCAGGAAGGGGACAAAAUGCAGCUUCUGAAGCCAAGGACACAGCAUGGGGAAGACCCAAGAUGACACAGCCCCGUGGGAAUCUCUAAAAUACUCCUGGAAACGCAAAUGGAGGACGAAAAGUCUCAACAUUGGAGUAGCCAACUCUACUUCCCCCCACAUCUUUCAGCAACAUAGCUAAUGAGGAUAUUAAUGGAAAUCUCCUUUAUAUGUAAAUGGUAGGUCAAAUACUUCAC